CCUACGGGAGGCUUCAGUGAGGAAUAUUGGUCAAUGGACGCAAGUCUGAACCAGCCAUGCCGCGUGCAUGAUGACGGCUCUAUGAGUUGUAAACUGCUUUUGUACGAGGGUAAACCCCGAUCCGUGUAUCGGGUUGAAAGUAUCGUACGAAUAAGGAUCGGCUAACUCCGUGCCAGCAGCCGCGGUAAUACGGAGGAUCCGAGCGUUAUCCGGAUUUAUUGGGUUUAAAGGGUGCGCAGGCGGUCUGUUACGUCAGCGGUCAACGCCCGGGGCUCAACCCCGGCCCGCCGUUGAAACUGGCAGUCUCGAGUUGGAGAGAAGUAUGCGGAAUGCGCGGUGUAGCGGUGAAAUGCAUAGAUAUCGCGCAGAACUCCGAUUGCGAAGGCAGCAUGCCGGCUCCACACUGACGCUGAGGCACGAAAGCGUGGGUAUCGAACAGGAUUAGAUACCCCUGUAGUC
rnacentral:rRNA from 1 species